rnacentral:rRNA from 1 species
UACGAAGGGGGCUAGCGUUGCUCGGAAUCACUGGGCGUAAAGGGUGCGUAGGCGGGUUUUUAAGUCAGAGGUGAAAUCCUGGAGCUCAACUCCAGAACUGCCUUUGAUACUGAAAGUCUUGAGUAUGGGAGAGGUGAGUGGACUGCGAGUGUAGAGGUGAAAUUCGUAGAUAUUCGCAAGAACACCAGUGGCGAAGGCGGCUCACUGGCCCAUACUGACGCUGAGGCACGAAAGCGUGGGGAGCAAACAGGG